rnacentral:rRNA from 1 species
AGUGAACGCUGGCGGUAGGCCUAACACAUGCAAGUCGAACGGCAGCACAGUAAGAGCUUGCUCUUACGGGUGGCGGGUGGCGGACGGGUGAGGAAUACAUCGGAAUCUACUUUUUCGUGGGGGAUAACGUAGGGAAACUUACGCUAAUACCGCAUACGACCUACGGGUGAAAGCAGGGGAUCUUCGGACCUUGCGCGAUUGAAUGAGCCGAUGUCGGAUUAGCUAGUUGGCGGGGUAAAGGCCCACCAAGGCGACGAUCCGUAGCUGGUCUGAGAGGAUGAUCAGCCACACUGGAACUGAGACGCGGUCCAGACUCCUACGGGAGGCAGCAGUGGGGAAUAUUGGACAAUGGGCGCAAGCCUGAUCCAGCCAUACCGCGUGGGUGAAGAAGGCCUUCGGGUUGUAAAGCCCUUUUGUUGGGAAAGAAAAGCAGCAGGUUAAUACCCCGCUGUUCUGACGGUACCCAAAGAAUAAGCACCGGCUAACUUCGUG